rnacentral:lncRNA from 1 species
UGUUAUUAUUAUUCUCCAUAAAGGACUUUGGGAAAAGAUCCCUCAUUCUAGGGAUGAAGAUAUAUAGAGAUAGAUCUAAGAGGCUGCUUGAGUUUUUUCAGUCCAAUGUAUAUAGAGUGUUUAUGAGUAGAAUUUGUUCUAUCAUAUAUACCAUGUAUGAGAUCGGAUAUAGUACACUCACUAAGGUAGUGAGUGGAUA